CCCGCAUGUUCAGCCAAUCGUGUUUAAGGAGAAACUAACAAUGAAAACGGGCUUGUUGAUGGAGGAAAAGUUGGAAUGCAGCCUCUGGUGCUGUUUGAGCGAUCCCUCUAUCCCGGGUCGCUGCUGUGUUCUGGAAAGGCACAUUGUACCCUGGAUGCAGCAGCUUCAUCAGCAAUGGAAGUGGCUGAUAUGUGGACUCUGCAGAUUAUAUAACCUUCCUAAGCACCCGAAUGUUGAGAUGCCAGAUCAACCACUACCCAUGGGUCAGAAUGGGACAACAGAAGAAGUGACUUCAAAAGAAGAGGAAGAAGAAGAGAUGGAUGAAGUGGGUAUUUUAUAUAAGAAUAACAUUUUGGCCAGGAUAUAGAAGACUUAGAUCACUGUGAGAUGAAAGAAGAGCCUACUAGUGAGAAGAAGUUGGAGGAUGAAGGAACUGAAAAAGAAAACUGGGCAAUAUUAGAGAAAAUUAGGAAGACUGAAAGGCAAGGCCAUUUAAAUGUGCUGCAGUGUCUGGGUCAGUGCAAGCUUCAGAUAGACUUAAGAAAGAGUUCAGGGACUUAUACAGAUCACAGAGUUAUAAGACAGGUUGACCCUGAUAGUUCUUUGCACAGUGAUCUUCAGAUCUU
rnacentral:lncRNA from 1 species